UAAGGCAUGCAUGCAGUCAAGAAAAGUAACCUAUAUCAACAUCUAAUACAGCGUUUUUGUCAUUUCUGUGUGUACUGCUUAUGGAGAUUCUUAUACUGCCUACUGUGGUAAAAGCUGCAGAUCUACAUAUUGAUGGUACAGGCCAAUGCAUCUAUGUAUCACAACGUCCUUUCAAGAGCCACCAUGCUUAUUGUAAAACUUCAGAAAAGAACAUCUGCUAAGUCAGCAAGCGGAGGUUUUGGCUGAGCAGCUAAAGCCACUGUUGAAGAGGGAGGCUGAAUGGACAUCUGUGCUUCUGGGGGACUGACUGAUUCUGGGAUCUGGAAAAUGGGUAUGAAAAUGCUCGUUUGUAGAUAAUGAGGAGUAUAACAGCUGAAAAUCUGUGUCAGGUCCAAGAUCAUCACUGCACUCCAGCAGCUUCUCUGCACAGAGCUGGUUAUGUGAAGACAGUCUUGAUGGAGAAGGAGAAGCUGACAGCUUAAAAAUUUGAUGUCUAUAACCAUUUGAUCAAAUAUACAGCACUUUUGAUGUAGAACUUGUCCGAAAUUAUCUCAAGUGCUUUACAUUUCUUCAUGAAUAAGCUUGGUCUCUCACACUCUCUUCUUAAAAUGCUUUCUCACUGGUUUUCAUCGUGGAAUUUGAAGCGCAGUGAUUUUCUCGGGCGUGUCUCCUGAAGGUAGGUGAGCCAUUUAGUGAACGGAAGUCAAUACCACGUGGCUAAGGAACAUCAUAUGAUACCGUUUAUUGGAACUCUAUUGUGUGCAGCUGCUGCAAGUUGCAGCCUCCUUUUCAGCUCUGAGUAUCAUUUGCCUUCUUUGCCUUUCACAUUGAGGGGGACAAAAAAUCAAAGAGGGGGAGGAUCACCAACUCACGUGGCAGCCCAUGUGUACAAAGAGAUGGCAACCUGGAUGACAAACCAGCACCUGAACCAGCAUCCCCAGCAACGAUGGGCUGUGAACAAAAGACUUCGAUCAUGUGACUAUGCGGGUUUUGAUUAGGGUGUCACACAGAAAAAAAGAUGGGGAGUGGGUUGUU